UCCCGUUGAUCCUGCGGGAGAUUGCUGCUAUUAGGAUUCGACUAAGCCAUGCAAGUCAAGGGGGCGCAAGCCACCGGCAGAAUGCUCAGUAACACGUCGAUAAUCUACUCUUAGAUCUGGGAUAACCUUGGUAAACUGAGGCUAAACCCGGAUAGAAGAUUUGUUCUGGAAUGAUAUUUCUUUGAAAAGCAAUGUCUAAGGAUGAGUCGGCGACCGAUUAGGCUGUUGGCGAGGUAACGGCUCACCCAACCUGUGAUCCAUACGGGCCUUGAGAGAGGUAGCCCGGAGAGGGACACUGAGAAACUGGUCCCAGCCCUACGGGGUGCAGCAGGCGCGAAACCUCUACAAUGCACGCAAGUGUGAUAGGGGAAUCCUAAGUGCUCAUGCUUAGCAUGGGCUUUUGCCAAAGGUAAAUUCUUUGGCGAAUAAGUGGUGGACAAGACUGGUGCCAGCCGCCGCGGUAAUACCAGCGCCACAAGUGGGGAUCGUGUUUAUUUGGCCUAAAGCGUCCGUAGCCGGACUAUUAAAUCCAUUGUGAAAUCGUUGCGCUUAACGUAACGGCGUGCAGUGGACACUGAUAGUCUAGGGACUGGGAGGCGUUAGAUGUAUGAUGGGGGGAGCAGUAAAAUGCUAUAAUCCCCAGUAGACAACCGGUGGCGAAGGCGUCUAACGAGAACAGGUCCGACGGUCAGGGACGAAAGCUAGGGGAGCAAUCCGGAUUAGAUACCCGAGUAGUCCUAGCUGUAAACGCUGUGAGCAAGGUGUUGCAUAUCCUCCGAGGGUAUGCAGUGUCGAAGAGAAGUCGUUAAGCUCACCGCCUGGGGAGUACGGUCGCAAGACUGAAACUUAAAGGAAUUGGCGGGGGAGUACUACAAGGGGUGCGGCGUGCGGUUUAAUUUAAUUCAACGCAGCGAAUCUCACCAGGGGCGACGGCAGAAUGAAGGCCAGAUUAAAGGUUUUACUUGACGAGCCGAGAGGUAGUGCAUGGCCGCCGUCAGCUCGUUCCGUAAGGUGUCCUGUUAAGUCAGGCAACGAGCGAGACCCAUAUCUGCAAUUGCUAACAGGUUCUUUUAGAGGACUGGGCACAUUGUAGGGACUGCCUUGGAAACAAGGAGGAAGGUGUAGGCUACGGUAGGUCUGUAUGCUCCGAAUCUUCUGGGCUACACGCGCGCAACAAUGGUAAGGACAAUGGGAUGCAACUCCGAAAGGAGAAGCUAAACCUCUAAACCUUAUCCUAGUCUAGAUUGAGGGUUGCAACUCACCCUCAUGACAAUGGAAUCCCUAGUAAUCGGACGUCAACAUCGUCCGGUGAAUAUGUCCCUGCUCCUUGCACUCACCGCCCCGU
rnacentral:rRNA from 1 species